rnacentral:rRNA from 1 species
GGGAGGUAGUGACAAUAAAUAACAAUACAGGGCUCUUACGGGUCUUGUAAUUGGAAUGAGUACAAUUUAAGUCUCUUAACGAGGAACAAUUGGAGGGCAAGUCUGGUGCCAGCAGCCGCGGUAAUUCCAGCUCCAAUAGCGUAUAUUAAAGUUGUUGCAGUUAAAAAGCUCGUAGUUGAGCUUCGGGAUUCUACCGUUGGUCAGGCUAACAAGUCUGUACUAGUGAGUAGAAUUCCUACCUUCUGGGGAACUAUCAUGUUAUUUAUUUAGCGUGGUGGGAAACCAGGACCUUUACCUUGAAAAAUUAGAGUGUUCAAAGCAGGCUUACGUCUGAAUACAUUAGCAUGGAAUAAUAAAAUAGGACGGUGGUCCUGUUUUGUUGGUUUCUGAAUCACCGUAAUGAUUAAUAGGGAUAGUUGGG